UGGGGAAUAUUGGGCAAUGGGCGAAAGCCUGACCCAGCAACGCCGCGUGAAGGAAGAAGGUUUUCGGAUUGUAAACUUCUGUCCUCAGGGAAGAAGGAAGUGACGGUACCUGAGGAGGAAGCCCCGGCUAACUACGUGCCAGCAGCCGCGGUAAUACGUAGGGGGCGAGCGUUGUCCGGAAUGACUGGGCGUAAAGGGCGCGUAGACGGUUUUUUAAGUCUGGAGUGAAAGUCCUGCUUUCAAGGUGGGAAUUGCUUUGGAGACUGGGGGACUUGAGUGCGGAAGAGGUAAGUGGAAUUCCCAGUGUAGCGGUGAAAUGCGUAGAUAUUAGGAGGAACACCAGUGGCGAAGGCGGCUUUCUGGACGACAACUGACGCUGAGGCGCGAAAGCGUGGGGAGCAAACAGG
rnacentral:rRNA from 1 species